rnacentral:rRNA from 1 species
GUAGGUGGCAAGCGUUGUCCGGAAUUAUUGGGCGUAAAGCGCGCGCAGGCGGUUCUUUAAGUCUGAUGUGAAAGCCCACGGCUCAACCGUGGAGGGUCAUUGGAAACUGGAGAACUUGAGUACAGAAGAGGAAAGCGGAAUUCCACGUGUAGCGGUGAAAUGCGUAGAGAUGUGGAGGAACACCAGUGGCGAAGGCGGCUUUCUGGUCUGUAACUGACGCUGAGGCGCGAAAGCGUGGGGAGCAAACAGGGAUUAGAUACCCUGGUAGUCCACGCCGUAAACGAUGAGUGCUAAGUGUUAGGGGGUUUACGCCCCCUUAGUGCUGCAGCUAACGCAUUAAGCACUCCGCCUGGGGAGUACGGCCGCAAGGCUG